rnacentral:rRNA from 1 species
UGGGGGAUAUUGCACAAUGGGCGCAAGCCUGAUGCAGCGACGCCGCGUGAGGGAUGAAGGCCUUCGGGUUGUAAACCUCUUUCGCUGGGUUGAAAGGCCAUGCUUUGGGUGUGGUUGAUUUGAACUGGUAAAGAAGUACCGGCUAACUACGUGCCAGCAGCCGCGGUAAUACGUAGGGUACUAGCGUUGUCCGGAUUUAUUGGGCGUAAAGGGCUUGUAGGUGGUUUGUCGCGUCUGUCGUGAAAUCCUGUGGCUUAACCAUGGGCUUGCGGUGGGUACGGGCAGGCUUGAGUGCGGUAGGGGAGACUGGAAUUCCUGGUGUAGCGGUGGAAUGCGCAGAUAUCAGGAGGAACACCGGUGGCGAAGGCGGGUCUCUGGGCCGUUACUGACACUGAGGAGCGAAAGCGUGGGGAGCGAACAGG